ACACAUGCAAGUCGAACGUGAUUUUGUGGAAAUCUUUCGGGAAUGGAAAUGAAAUGAAAGUGGCGAACGGGUGAGUAACACGUGAGCAACCUACCUUACACAGGGGGAUAGCCGUUGGAAACGACGAUUAAUACCGCAUGAGACCACAGAAUCGCAUGAUAUAGGGGUCAAAGAUUUAUCGGUGUAAGAAGGGCUCGCGUCUGAUUAGCUAGUUGGAAGGGUAAAGGCCUACCAAGGCGACGAUCAGUAGCCGGUCUGAGAGGAUGAACGGCCACAUUGGAACUGAGACACGGUCCAAACUCCUACGGGAGGCAGCAGUGGGGAAUAUUGCACAAUGGGGGGAACCCUGAUGCAGCGACGCCGCGUGAGCGAAGAAGGUUUUCGAAUCGUAAAGCUCUGUCCUAUGAGAAGAUAAUGACGGUAUCAUAGGAGGAAGCCCCGGCUAAAUACGUGCCAGCAGCCGCGGUAAUACGUAUGGGGCGAGCGUUGUCCGGAAUUAUUGGGCGUAAAGGGUACGUAGGCGGUUUUUUAAGUCAGGUGUGAAAGCGUGAGGCUUAACCUCAUUAAGCACUUGAAACUGGAAGACUUGAGUGAAGGAGAGGAAAGUGGAAUUCCUAGUGUAGCGGUGAAAUGCGUAGAUAUUAGGAGGAAUACCGGUGGCGAAGGCGACUUUCUGGACUUUUACUGACG
rnacentral:rRNA from 1 species